rnacentral:rRNA from 1 species
UACAGAGGUGGCAAGCGUUGUUCGGAAUUACUGGGCGUAAAGGGCGCGUAGGCGGCGGGGUAAGUCGGGUGUGAAAUCUCAGAGCUCAACUCUGAAACUGCACUCGAUACUGCUCUGCUUGAGGACUGGAGAGGAGACUGGAAUUCACGGUGUAGCAGUGAAAUGCGUAGAUAUCGUGAGGAAGACCAGUGGCGAAGGCGGGUCUCUGGACAGUUCCUGACGCUGAGGCGCGAAGGCCAGGGGAGCAAACGGG